rnacentral:misc_RNA from 1 species
UAACUUUGGGGUAAUUUUUUUUCAUUUGUAUUAGUCGCUAUCCUUUAAUAGUAUCAUAUCUAAAUACUUCAUUUCAUUCACCAUUAUA